GACGAACGCUGGCGGCGUGCUUAACACAUGCAAGUCGAGCGAUGAAAGCCUUAUGAACUAUUCGUAGUGAUUGGGGCCGGAUUAGCGGCGGACGGGUGAGUAACGCGUGAGCAACCUGCCUUAAACAACGGGAUAGCCUCGGGAAACCGGGAUUAAUACCGUAUGAGACCCCGCCUUCACAUGAAGAAGAGGUUAAAGAUUUAUCGGUUUAAGAUGGGCUCGCGUCUGAUUAGCUAGUUGGUGAGAUAAAAGCCCACCAAGGCAACGAUCAGUAACCGGCUUGAGAGAGUGAACGGUCACAUUGGAACUGAGACACGGUCCAAACUCCUACGGGAGGCAGCAGUGGGGAAUAUUGCACAAUGGGGGAAACCCUGAUGCAGCGACUCCGCGUGAGCGAUGAAGGAAUUCGUUUCGUAAAGCUCUGUCCAAGGGGAAGAUAAUGACAGUACCCUUGGAGGAAGCCCCGGCUAAAUACGUGCCAGCCGCCGCCGUAAUAC
rnacentral:rRNA from 1 species